rnacentral:lncRNA from 1 species
UAGUAACAUUCAUAAUCACUGUUUACAUUUGUAUGACUUUGGCACAAGCCACAAAAUGCUAGGUGGGUAAGCCAGUAAUUUAUGUAGAAUGUAAAGUUGAAGUAGAUUUCCUGAAGCUGAUCAGAGCUUGUGUAUAUGGUCCGUCGGCGAAUAGAAGGCAAAAGGUCUGAGCUUUUUACACUAUAUAUGGGUCUAUAAGUUUUUAGUUGUAGGGAGGUAGCUUAUUUUAGAACUUUCCAAAAGCAUCUCCCGAUAACGCGAUGGUAAUCCAGCAUUUCUGAUUUGCUGUUCAUCAGAACUGAAGGUUUAUUUGAAUGCUUUAAAAUGAUUAGCAGGCUGAAUACAACAUGGAAAGUUUAAGAAAAUUGUUCCACAUGUCAAUUUUUGACAUAGUAGGACUCUUAAUUAUGUAAUAGAGGCUGCACUUUUAAUCAGUUUGUUGAAUAUUGAAGCUGCUUUGGGUACAAAAGUUAUUUUGCUUUUGACACCUGUGAGGAUUGAUUUUCCUUGACCCCAUCAUUUAUGGAUACUGUUGGGCCUGAUGGACAGAGUAUGCUCUUUAAUAUCACUUCUAAUUUGCUGUUUUCCUGAAAUUUAAAUUUUGUAAGGAGAUGAAAAGUUGGUUUUUAAUAAAUCAUAGAUGGCAUGCUGUUGCUUCAUGGACAUGGGAUGCCCAAGAUGAGACUUGUGGCAUUUGUAGGAUGGCUUUUGAUGGUUGUUGCCCUGAUUGCAAACUCCCAGGGGAUGAUUGCCCUCUGAGUAAGUCUUAGAAGCUUUUGCCAGCCAGUUUUUCUAUGUUUUGCUCUAUAGAAAUAGAUGAUUCUCGUGAAAUAAAAGGUCCGCUUUCUGUGCCAAACAGUCAGCUUCCCUGCUAUCUUCACUUAUUAAAUAUAUAUUUUUUAAUUAUCUACUUUAGUUGCAUGCCUUUCUAAUAUUUUUUCUGUUUUGUACUUUUUAAGUUUUUUCAAAAACUAUGUUAUUUCCAUUCUUAGAAUUGUAGAGGGGGCAUAUGAUGAUAUGAAAAUGUUUUAAGACAUCUUUUACCUCAAUGAGGAUGCAAAUCACCCCUUGUUAAAUGACAUUGGAACAGAAGGGCUUCAGUCGAGGCUUAACGAACAGUCUUCCUCAUAUGAAAUUUAUUUUUUGUUAACAAAUUCUCACAAUCUUUUUUUUUUUUUUUUUUAGGAGAUGUGGUCCUCAUAUAAUUAAUGUCAAUGUGAAUUUCAUUACCUUGCAUCACUAGGGGUAAAACGGAUGGCAAGGUAUAUGAAGUUCAUUUUUGCAAAUAUGACAUCAACUUUGAAAUUCUAUUCAAUGAUGGAAUUAUGGAUACGCUAUGGUUAUGCUUUGCAAUCCCUGUGAGAUAGUCAUAAUGGCCCUCACAGCUUACAAAAUGUCACAGUACUAGGUCAUAUCUGCUCCCCUCCCCCAACUUUAUGUUGAUGCUAGGACAGCUAUCCUUGUGCUUAGAAGUGGUUUUUAUCUGGUGUUGGACAUUGACUGGACGCAUGUUCUCUACUCAUUUCUUGAACAAACAAAUAACCAUGUUUUGUGAACCCAGACUCCUGUGUCUAAAGGACAGUACAAGAGUAGUCAUCAGUUACUAAAUCUUAUCAUCUAAUGAUUAACACACACUGGCCACUAUCAGGUUAGGUCUGCAUGUUUGUGUCUUCAUGCCCAAUGUGACUCUUGAGCCUGCUGAAUAGACCGGAAACUUCUGUGGUAUUAACCUUGAGUUUAAAUUCGCAAAUUUGGAGUGGAGAGGGACAGUUUCUGGAGAGAAAUAAUUGGGGCGAAGUAUGGUGUGACCGAUGGGGGAUGGUGUACAUUUGAGGAUCGUGGUUCUUAUGGGGUGAGCUUGUGGAGGUAUAUCCGACGGGGAUGGAGUGCAUUUUUUGACAAAUUGGAGUUUGUGGUUGGAAAUGGUAAUGAGAUUAAAUUUUGGGAUGAUUGUUGGUGCGGAGAUCAACCGCUGAAGGAGAGAUUCCCUUCUUUGUAUCUUAUUGCCUCAGUGUCCAGUGCCAUGGUGAGUGAUUCCUUAGACAUUCAUAAUGGGAGUUGUAGUUGGAAUAUAACUUCUGGCAGGGAUCUUCAGGAUUGGGAAUUGGAAGAUUAUUCACUAUUUAUGACCAUUUUACAUGAGGCCCAAAUUCGGGUUGGAGAGAGGGAUUGCAUCAGGUGGAGGACAGCACAGGAUGGCAUUUUUUCGGUUCGCUCGUACUUUGGUUCCCUCAUGGGAUGUGUGAAUAAUUCAUUCCCAUGGAAGUUGGUUUGGCAGUGUAAAUUGCCUCCUCGGGUGGCAUUCCUAUUGUGGACAGUUGUGAGGGGACAGGUCUCAACGGUAGAUAAUCUUCAUCGUAAAGGCUUUUAUGCAACCGAGUGGUGUUAUAUGUGCAAGAAGGAUGGGGAGACGAUUGAUCAUUUGUUCAUUCAUUGUGAUGGUGUACGUUGGAUUUAGAACAGUAUAAUCAGUUCACAAUCUAUGGAUUGGGUGAUGACUCGUCGUAUAAAGGACGUGAUACGGGCAUUGCGUAGAAAACUUCGGGAUAAGGAUAGCAAACUAGUAUGGCACCUUAUCCCGGGCUGCAUUGCUUGGUGCGUGUGGAGAGAAAGGAACAACCGUUGCUUCAAAGACCAAACAAAGACAAGAGAGCAGAUAAGAGAAACAUUUUACUUUACCUUGUAUUCUUGGUUUAAUGCUGUGGCUAGAAAUCCUGUAGAUGGGUUGCCUAAUUUCAUGUUUUUCCUUAAUAGCUUAAAGUGAUUGUACACCCCCCGUGUAUUCUCUUUUAAGUAAUAAAAUUAUUUGAUUACCUAUCAAAAAAAAAAAAAAAAUCGCAAAUUUGGGGAUGAGAGCAAAAGCGACAUCUUAAAAGCAAUGAAAUGAAUUUUUUUUGAGAGCAGACUUGGGUGAGAUCAUAUGUGUCAUUGUGUCCACAUCUGCAUGUGUAGUGUAGUUGGGGGGAGCUAACCUCCUCGCGUCAAUGUUUUUGUGAUUCAGUUUUUGCAUGUGAACAACUACUUGUUGUAACUUGAGAUCUCAUUCAUUUUUCUUGCAAUUGCAUGUUAAUUGCUCUCUUGUUAGCUUUCUUUCUGGCGUAUGAAAGCUAAUAAAAUUUUGCUGAUAAGCAAUCUGUGUUUCCUUGUGCAGUCUGGGGUGCUUGCAACCAUGCCUUUCAUCUUCACUGCAUCUUGAAAUGGGUGAAUUCGCAAACUCCUCGAGCACAUUGUCCCAUGUGCCGUAGAGAGUGGCAAUUUAAAGGAUGAGAAAUCCACUUGUAUGAGUUGUUCUUCCCUUGGCUUUGUCCCACUCUCGAACCCUCUCCGUGUCAAAAGAAAAAGGGAUAACAAGUUAUGUUCUUUCUUUCGUUCUAAUAUAGAAAGUAUUGUGGUAAAGACAAUUGGUACGAGGUAUCCAACUCUGAAAUAUGUUUCUACUUUAUGCAAUUCAUUUAGCCAUUCUAUCAAACUAUUAGUGUGGGU